GGUCUCCAGAAGAGAUGUUGUGGAAGUGAUUCCUGGAGAGUUUCAAGGUCGACAAGUUUUGCAGAUUCUGCCUGGCAAGCAGCAAAGAUACACAGCAGCAAGAGAUGGCUUUGCAAGAGAAAUUCAUCAUGAGGGUUAUUGUCUCAGAGGGAGACAUCAGAAAAUUGACGAUGACAUCACGACCGGA